UAAUAAUAAUAAUAAUGACGAUGACGAUGACGAUGACGAUGACGAUCAUCUCAUCAUCAUCAUCAUCAUCACCAUCAUGAACAAUC